GGCGGCGUAGCUCAGCCGGUAGAGCAGCGGAAUCAUAAUCCGUAGGUCCGGGGUUCAAGUCCCUGCGCCGCUACCA
rnacentral:tRNA from 1 species